GACAGAAAAGAGCAAACCUGACGAAAGUCAGAGACGCAAAACCUCAGACCUAAGGUUAUUAGAAAUGCGCAAGCGCCUAGAGCUAGACAACAACCGCGACAUUAAGCAACUUAUCUAUCUACAUGCUAGGUUUUAAAAUUUCCUAUGCAUGAACAAAUAACUAUGGUAGCUGGGGUACCUAA
rfam:Bacillus galactosidilyticus strain PL133 scaffold000095, whole genome shotgun sequence.